rnacentral:lncRNA from 1 species
UAAGGAGUGAUUGAUUUCAUAUUGACUACUCAUAACCUCCAUGCACACUUCACCAAACUCAGAAUAUCUCACACACAUCUCAAAAUGGUAUGCUAGAGAAUAAACUAAAGAAUGGAUCCAUAUAUAUAAGGUACCAUGGUAAUCUCAGGUUAAAGGAUCACGUGCACUACUCUCACUGCAGAACCAUCUGUCGACAUGCUGUAAGGCUCUAUCAAAUAUUUUUUCUGCGGAUCGAUUC